rnacentral:rRNA from 1 species
CCUACGGGUGGCUGCAGUGGGGAAUAUUGCACAAUGGGGGAAACCCUGAUGCAGCGACGCCGCGUGAGUGAAGAAGUAUCUCGGUACGUAAAGCUCUAUCAGCAGGGAAGAAAAUGACGGUACCUGACUAAGAAGCCCCGGCUAACUACGUGCCAGCAGCCGCGGUAAUACGUAGGGGGCAAGCGUUAUCCGGAUUUACUGGGUGUAAAGGGAGCGUAGACGGCAGCACAAGUCUGGAGUGAAAUCCCGGGGCUUACCCCCGGAACUGCUUUGGAAACUGGGCGGCUGGAGUGCGAGAGGGGUAAGCGGAAUUCCUGGUGUAGCGGUGAAAUGCGUAGAUAUUAGGAGGAACACCGGUGGCGAAGGCGGCUUACUGGACUGUAACUGACGUUGAGGCUCGAAAGCGUGGGGAGCAAACAGGAUUAGAUACCCCAGUAGUC